rnacentral:lncRNA from 1 species
UGGUCAUCCUAACCAUCUUAUAGGCACUGUCCAACUCUGCAAACAGAAACUCUAGGACAGGUUUCUCCAAGAUGCUGAGAUACUGUGGUGCUUCCUCAGAGCCCAUGUCAAAGAAAUAGUAAGGAGGGAAUUGGCCCUAUUUCUGCAAAGAAACCAAAAUGCUUUUAGUGAAAGUGGACUCUAGACCUCUUGGGCCCCUUGAAAAGUGUAGUGUGUAAGUGCCAGAAGAGGUAUAGAUGGAUCCCAGAGAAACCCAGUAGGUCUGCAGAAACCAUGAAAAAUGGAAGUUAGCAGCCUCAAAUAGAGUAACAUCUUCUGUGAUGCUAGAGCAGAAAAGCAGUGACAGGUGUGAUCUGAUAAAGGCAAGUCAGGUUCAUAAACACAAAUGAGAGCUAGUCCUUGGAGGUUCCUAGAAAUAAUGGGGAGAACUUAGAAAGAGUUUUUAGGUUCUAUACAUUAGAAGAUGGUAAGAGUCAAUAGGUGAUACCAAUAGGCAGUCGUGAAAAGUGAAGGAUAUAGAGACAAAGCAUGUGUCUUUGAAGACCACUUUCUAGCCACUUGAACCUCUGUAAAAUAAGAAAAGGUGAUGCAUGGAUGGCUCUCUAUCCUCCGUAUUCACUAACUUGCCUCGAUCCACACAGAGGGCAACUCUACUGUUUCUCUUACAUCACAGUCCUCUGUUUGACCUCACUGGAAUUUUCCUAGGGAGCAAGGAUUGCUCAUCUCAUUGGUCAGGAUUUAAGAGGAUAGUUGGCAGAAUAGCAAUGUCUUAAAAUCAAAUUUCAUGAGGCUUUUUUCCCCACUCCUGGCAUCUGUGUAGGAAGCCAACCACACUUUGUACUUUGUUCCUACCUUUAUUCAAGAUGAAGGCUGGCCUCCCCGGACGUGUGCUUUCCAGGCUGUGGUAUCUGCUUUCCUCCCAGAAAGGAUUAUUCAUCUGUCCUCUCACAGCCAUGCCGUCAGCACCAGGGAGAGUCCCUGCCUCCCCGCUGGACCGGAGAUUCCCCACAGCCACAGGUCACGAAACACAGAAGCUCCCUGGGCCGAUUCCCUGGAAAGCGGACAGGGCUUAUGCGGCAUGUCCCUCACACUCUCAGCAUACCUAACACUUUCCAUCUUGUUUGUCUGUAUUUAGAGAAGCAGAAAAGCCUUCUAGAAAGGGUGCUGGACUUUGAGCCGCUCACCUCAGGUCACCUUGCGGGGAGGGAGAGUGACUUAUUUUGGAACAACUAGUUGUUGUGUGGUACAAUAGGUGUGCUCUCAGUUUGCAAAGUUUUAUCCUCAGAGCCAUGCUUUGGGGUAGAUAUUUUUAACACUGCAUUUCAGUUCAAGAAACUGAGGCAGAAAGAGAGUAAGUAACUUGCCCCCAGAGUUACCCAGUGAUUGUGUUGGACCUAGAAGUUUAACCCAAACUGGGGCCAUAAUAAAGUCCAUGCCCUUGGCCACACCCUCAUCUAACAAAAGAGCGUGGUGGUGAUGUCUGGGGUCCCUUCAGUUUCCAAAAUUCUGUAAUGCUUUAUAGUCAUAUGCUCUCACAGUAAAUUUUUUCAUUUUUUUUAAACUGUAAAGACUAUUUAUAUCUUACUAUUCAAUGUGCUCUCUCUUCCUGGCAUGCAUGAGGGGUUUAAAAAAUCUUAGUUGAGUUGAACUAAAACUGAAUUUUCAAAUCCUCAUUUUCUUCAUCUUUAAACUGAUGAUAAUGGUCUCUGUGUCAUCAGUUUCAAGAAGCUCAAAAAAUCCUAUGUUUGGAAACACUUUUUGGAACUAUAUUACCAGAGUAUUGUAUGGAACAUAUUAUUGCAUUGGUAUAUAUAUUAUGCAUGCAUGCAGAUAAGUAUAUGUGUCAUAACUAUACUUAAUGACUAUUAUGAAAUGAACACUCAGCAUCCAGAAUAAGAAGCAAAAUAUUGCUAGAAUUUCAGACAUCUCACUGUGCUUUCUUCUACUUACUUUCCCCUUACCCAAGGAUAACUACCAUCCUGAUAUUAAGGAUAAGUAUUCUUUGCUUUGUCCUGUGAAAAAUGCUAUAUUAAAUAAUAGACAUGCCCUUGCGUGUCUGGCUUCUUUCACUCAACAUCUUGAUGUGAGAUUCAUCCAUAUUUCUGGUUGUUCUAUUUUUUCUCAUUGAAGUAGAAUAUUCUAUUGUGGGACUAUGCUGCUGCUGCUGCUAAGUCACAUCAGUCGUGUGCUACUCUGCGCGACCCCAUAGACGGCAGCUCACAGGCUCCCCUGUCCCUGGAAUUCUCCAGGCAAGAACACUGGAGUGGGUUGCCAUUUCCUUCUCCACUGCAUGAAAGUGAAAAGUCAAAGUGAAGUCGCUCAGUUGUGUCUGACUCAGCGACCCCAUGGACUGCAGCCUACCAGGCUCCUCCGUCCAUGGGAUUUUGGGACUAUACCAGAGUGUAUAUAUCUAGUCUACUCCUGAUAGGUAUUUUCAGUUUUCAGUAACUGACAAUUACGAAUAAUACACCUAUGAACAUUCUACUAUGUGUCUUUUAUGGACAUACAGAUGCAUUUGAAUUAAGUGUAUCCCUGAAGUAUAUGUGUAUAUUUAACUUUAAUAGAUACUUUGCCUAGAAAUUAAGUACCUUAGGUAGGAGAUAUGUAACCAUAGAUGAUGCUAGCAUUGUGGUGGGGCAGGAUGGAAAACUUCAGGCAUAUUCGUUCCUUAUAGGAGACCUCCAACUAAAUAAGAGCAAUGUAAACCAACAAGUUUGGGCCUUUUUCACAGUUUGGGUCCCCAGGAAGUAGAGUCAGGUAUUUUGCAGAAUGUCCCUCAAUAUGUGCUUGUCUUAUGGCUUUUUUAUUAUUAUAAUUUUACAUAAUUAUAGGGAUUUGGGAUUUUGAAGAAAAUUAUUAAAACGACAGAGGUGAAGUGUGCUUCUCACCACUUUCAGCAGGAAGGAAGUGACAGGUGGUGAUGUUAACCUUCAUCACUUCAUUAAGUUAGAGCCCACCAAAUACUCCUCUGUAAAGUUACUAUAAUUUUCCUUUCUGUAUUUUAUUAUUCAGAAACAAAUUCCUAAGUCCAGCCCACAUUCAAGAAGCAG